rnacentral:rRNA from 1 species
UGGGGAAUAUUGGACAAUGGGCGAAAGCCUGAUCCAGCAAUGCCGCGUGAGUGAUGAAGGCCUUAGGGUUGUAAAGCUCUUUUACCAGGGAUGAUAAUGACAGUACCUGGAGAAUAAGCUCCGGCUAACUCCGUGCCAGCAGCCGCGGUAAUACGGAGGGAGCUAGCGUUGUUCGGAAUUACUGGGCGUAAAGCGUACGUAGGCGGAUGCGCAAGUUGGGGGUGAAAUCCCGGGGCUUAACCUCGGAAUUGCCCUCAAAACUGCACGUCUUGAGACCGAGAGAGGUAAGGGGAAUUCCUAGUGUAGAGGUGAAAUUCGUAGAUAUUAGGAAGAACACCAGUGGCGAAGGCGCCUUACUGACUCGGUACUGACGCUGAGGUACGAAAGCGUGGGGAGCAAACA